rnacentral:snoRNA from 1 species
AUUGAGAAAGUGAUGAGGCAAAAAUGCAUAGUUCAACUGAAGGGCUCCAAAACCUAUGUUGAUUCUAUACCAUCAAAGUCUUUCGCUCCUAUCUGAUUCUCAAU